rnacentral:rRNA from 1 species
GACGAACGCUGGCGGCGUGCUUAAUACAUGCAAGUUGAGCGCUGAAGGUUGGUACUUGUACCAACUGGAUGUGCAGCGCACGGGUGAGUAACGCGUGGGGCAUCUGCCUUUGAGCGGGGGACAUCAUUUGGAAACGAAUGCUAAUACCGCAUAAAAACUUUAAACACAAGUUUUAUGUUUGAAAGAUGCAAUUGCAUCACUCAAAGAUGAUUUCGCGUUGUAUUAGUUAGUUGGUGAGGUAAAGGCUCACCAAGGCGUUGAUACAUAGCCGACCUGAGAGGAUGAUCAGCCGCAUUGAGACUGAGACACGGCCCAAACGCCUACGGGAAGCAGCAGUAGGGAAACUUCGGCAAUGGGCGGAAGUCUGACCGAACAACGCCGCGGGAGUGAAGAAGGAUUUCGGGUCGUAAAACACUGUUGGUAGAGAAGAACGUUGGUUAGAGUGGAAAGCUCAUCAAGUGACGGUAACUACCCAGAAAGGAACGGCUAACUACGUG